GUGUCUCAGAGAACGAGGACAUGGGGUUUGGUGAAUGCACAGCAUUGUCUGUGUCACAGGAUCUAUGUGCCGGGACCAUGUGAGGACACCAGAAGGAGCAUGCAUGUGUGAUGGUUCGUGUGAAGAACAAGUGAGACGGGAGAGGAGAAACAGGUUCUAACUCCAGAGCCCGCUGUGUGGUCAACACCUUAUAAAUGUGGGUCACGAUAAGAGGAAGCUGGGCUUGACUUCCCUCUGCCACUUACGGAAGUCAGUUCUUAGGUUCAGCCCACACACAGAAGGAGGGGAUUAUUCAAGGAUGUGGACACCAAAAGACAAGGCUCACGGGGGCCAUCUUGGAAGUCUGUCUACCACACACCCAUACAAGCCAGAAGUGAGAUCAACUCCUCCUGAACUACAUGGACGGAGAGUGGAGGGGGCACUUCCUCCAAGGAAGAUUGGAAUGCUUUUACCGGAAGAAAGGAGAAUGCCUCCCAGAUGGCCAAACAGCAAAGGCCUCCACACAGCAACUAAGGAAAUUUGUAGCGAACACCAAGAUUGGAAUAGGCAUUAGCUACCUGGUUUGUUUCUAUAAGGUUGUACUAUUUACCCUGAAUGAAAGACAGCUGACUUACCAAAUUCUCACCAGCACUGAACUCUAUCGGGGUUUUAUUUUUCUCUCAACUUUGCUAGUACGAAAGUUUAUAAAAACAAUUUCUAAGUGCUAUUUAGCUUGCAUCGCUCCAAUAAUCGUUGUCCCAUGGCCCUCCAGACUUGUUUUGUAACUGCAUUUUCUCUCUGUUUUUUAACCAUUGAGUAUAUGCUUGUCUUCAAAACCCCAACAAGAUCAUAAGAUUCCUAGGAGCGAGGAUCACGUCCCUCCAGGGCACGAAGCUGGGUUCUCUGCCCUCCCAAAGACUGAGCCAACAAUAUUUACCAAUCCGUGAGUUUCGGGCUUUUCUGAUAUUUGCUGAGCUCACGGUUCUUUCACAAGAGGGACUUUGAAUCUACGUAAAAAGACACGUGUAAAUGAAAGAAGCAACAAAUUGCGCUCGGUCCACAGAGUUCGGAAGAGCUGCAGCUCCGGUCUGUGGUCAGUAAGGUUAAUUGAAGAGCGCACCGCAUCAUUUUGAAAAGAGUAGCCCGAUUUGAGGGGGAGGCGGGAAUGUUUUUUCAUUCUUGGGAUAAAUGAAAGAUUAAUUUUUAAGUCUUCUUUAAAAACCCUCAAAGAGGUGCUAGAGACGAAAUUACUUUUAAUUGGUCAACUUAGCCCCAGCUCGUGAAUGCUCAAGUGCGUGCAAUGAGAAUUCAGUCCGUGUAAAACUUGAACUUGUUUUUUUUUUUUUUGUCUUACUCUCUGUCCUUCCCAGGUCAAGGA